ACGAAGAAAAAUUCCAUCUCGUCCGACGAAUUCGUCUCCCUUUUUUUUUUUCGCUUGUUGUCAUUGAUCAUUUUAUCAUGUAUUAUUAUCUUUUUCUUUCUUCAACCGCGUACGUUCUCGAGUGCUAGCGGGUAAACUGGAAUCGCAUUGUAAAAUAAAUCCAAUACGAUCGAUACGCACCGAUUAUACAUAAAUAUAAAUAAUAUUGAUUCUACUCUUAAUUAAUUAAUUAAUUAAUUAAAGGCAGUAAAACCGUAAACGGGAUUUUUAAAGAAGUGAAUCUAGAUGACUAACAUGACUUACGUAAACGACACAUCUUUACGAGCAACAUAUCCUAGCGUAACUAGGCGGCGUAACGUGGGCCCCGUUCCGCUCCUAAUCCUCCGCCAGUCGGAAUCUCAAAAUUCGCGCGCGUGGCGAACGCACAUUUUCCUCCGCUCUCUUUUACUACUGGGAUAAUUCUCUCUCGGAGAGAAUUCGACAUUCUCUCGGUUCGUCUUAAUUAAUUUGAACGAGACAAUUGGGCGCACUAUAUAUACACAUACAAUCCACGCGGCAAUCAACCGAGGAGGAUUUCGAGCGCGACACGCGGCCAUCUUCUUUUUUUCGAAUUAUCGCGAGGCAAAUAGAGAGAGAGAGAGAGAGAGAGAGAGAGAGAGAGAGAGAGAGAGAGAGAGAAGAGAGAGAGAGAUGGACAAACGAGGAAAAGAAGAGAAAAGGGGAGAAAAAUUAACAAAUAAGGGAUGUUCCAUGACAUUAGGGCGUUAUUAACGAUAAUAAGUCUAUAAUUUAGAGAGUGCGUGGGUGAUAUUAUGGAGAGAGUCGUGUAUUGAAUGAGCGUGAUGAUGAUUUUGGCCCUCGUCGAAUCGGCGCGAUUAGAAAUAAGUUCUUGGAUUCAUUCGACAUAAGGGGAAUUAUUAUCAGCGAUUGAUCAGGGGGAAAGAAAAGAGAGAAGUUGGUGGGGGAACGGUGGUGAGAAAUUGGCGCGCGCGAUUCGAUGGUCGAAAUACAAAAAUGGAGGGUGAUUAGUAAUAACGUUUCGAUAAACGAGGAAAAAGAAGAAGCAGAAAAUGUGAAGAAUGAUAUAAAUAUAUAUA